GGAGAGGUGGCUGAGUGGCCGAAAGCAACAGUUUGCUAAACUGUCGUAGGGGAAACCUUACCGCGGGUUCGAAUCCCGCCCUCUCCGCCA
rnacentral:tRNA from 2 species